rnacentral:rRNA from 1 species
UACGAAGGGGGCUAGCGUUGCUCGGAAUCACUGGGCGGAGAGCGCGCGUAGGCGGAUUGUUAAGUCAGGGGUGAAAUCCUGGAGCUCAACUCCAGAACUGCCUUUGAUACUGGCGAUCUCGAGUCCGGGAGAGGUGAGUGGAACUGCGAGUGUAGAGGUGAAAUUCGUAGAUAUUCGCAAGAACACCAGUGGCGAAGGCGGCUCACUGGCCCGGUACUGACGCUGAGGUGCGAAAGCGUGGGGAGCAAACAGG